UACGGAGGGUGCGAGCGUUGUCCGGAAUCAUUGGGCGUAAAGGGCGCGUAGGUGGCCCGGUCAGCGUGCGGUGAAAGCUCGGGGCUCAACCCCGAGUCGGCCGUGCGAACUGCUGGGCUUGAGCACUGUAGAGGCAGGCGGAAUUCCGGGUGUAGCGGUGGAAUGCGUAGAGAUCCGGAAGAACACCGGUGGCGAAGGCGGCCUGCUGGGCAGUGGCUGACACUGAGACGCGACAGCGUGGGGAGCAAACAGG
rnacentral:rRNA from 1 species